UGGGCAACCUGCCCCUCUCUCUGGGAUAACCCCCGGGAAACCGGAGCUAAUACCGGAUACUCCGGCUGGAUCGCAUGGUCCGGCCGGGAAAGGUCCGCCGGAGAGGGAUGGGCCCGCGGCCUAUCAGCUUGUUGGUGGGGUCAUGGCUCACCAAGGCGACGACGGGUAGCUGGUCUGAGAGGACGACCAGCCACACUGGAACUGAGAUACGGUCCAGACCUCCGUACGGGAGCA
rnacentral:rRNA from 1 species